AUCGCCAUCGUCCACUGUCGCCCGGUAUGUGAAGAAGGCCGGAGAGCCACCGCCUCCGUCACUUCAAAGUCAUCGCGGCACCCAACAAAAGAUGCAGUGUUUUGCAUUGGAAUGCGACGACGUUCAUGUCCAUCGUUUCGAAGGAACACAACUUUAUAUGGAUGAAGACGUUGGAACUACAUGUAAAUUGUUGCCCAAGCAGCUAAUUAGAUGCAAAAUCGCAAAUCCGAGAAGAAAUACUUUUCAUCCUGCUAGCAAUUUUGCAAGCUUGAUUUUGUGUUGACAUGUUCCUGCAAAAAUGCAGACCUAAACUAGGACAAUAUUAGAGAUACUGAUUUGAUACAUGAGACAUGUACACGUUCUUAUCAUAUAUGCUGCAAUGGAUAGCGCAUUGCAUCGUCUUAGUAAUCACAAACUAAACUUGGGUCAUUUCUUACACCCAACUUGAUUAAUGCAACUCUUUUUGA